rnacentral:rRNA from 1 species
GCCAGACUCCUACGGGAGGCAGCAGUGGGGGAUAUUGCACAAUGGGGGGAACCCUGAUGCAGCGACGCCGCGUGGGUGAAGAAGUAUUUCGGUAUGUAAAGCCCUAUCGGCAGGGAAGAAAUUGGACGGUACCUGACUAAGAAGCCCCGGCUAACUACGUGCCAGCAGCCGCGGUAAUACGUAGGGGGCAAGCGUUAUCCGGAUUCACUGGGUGUAAAGGGAGCGUAGACGGCCAUGCAAGCCUGGAGUGAAAGCCCGGGGCCCAACCCCGGGACUGCUCUGGGAACUGUGCGGCUGGAGUGCGGGAGGGGCAGGCGGAAUUCCUGGUGUAGCGGUGAAAUGCGUAGAUAUCAGGAGGAACACCGGCGGCGAAGGCGGCCUGCUGGACCGCGACUGACGUUGAGGCUCGAAAGCGUGGGGAGCAAACAGGAUUAGAUACCCCGGUAC